rnacentral:rRNA from 1 species
GGACAACCCCGGGAAACUGGGGCUAAUACCCUAUGUGACCCUAAGGAUUAGAUGCCUAAGGAUGAAAUGGAGCAAUUCGCUUCGGGAGGGGCCUGCGGCCUAUCAGCUAGUUGGUGAGGUAAUGGCUCACCAAGGCGACGACGGGUAGGGGACCUGAGAGGGUGACCCCCCACACUGGAACUGAAACACGGACCAGACACCUACGGGUGGCAGCAGUAGGGAAUAUUGCACAAUAGGCGAAAGCCUGAUGCAGCAACGCCGCGUGCGCGAUGAAGGCCUUAGGGCUGUAAAGCGCUUUUCUGGGGGAAGAGAAAGGACGGUACCCCAGGAAUAAGUCUCGGCUAACUACGUGCCAGCAGCCGCGGUAAAACGUAGGAGGCGAGCGUUAUCCGGAUUUACUGGGCGUAAAGCGCGUGCAGGCGGUUUGGUAAGUCGGACGUGAAAGCUCCCGGCUCAACUGGGAGAGGCCGUUCGAAACUACCAGGA